ensembl:lncRNA
GUUUUCUGCCUCCAGCACUUUGUAUAUGGAAAGAACUGGCCUUCGUAAUCAUACUGACAGCACAUUGAUGCCUCUUGAUGAACUCAGCAAACUAUUAAGAGUAUGUUUUCAUAAGUACAUUCAGCCCUUAUUUUCACUUUUUGUAAGUCAUCUGAGCUAUAAAUAUACUGUGUGAGUAUGAAACACAAAUCAGGCUUCCAUUUGAUAAAGUAAUGAGCAAACUUCAAAGUUUGAAGAGUUCACUUUAGUUCAGACUAGUGCUGGAAAAUCCAAAGUUUUGCUUAGAUCUUCUCUGAACAGUCCUGGAGUUGAAUGGGAAAUGCAGAAGAACCUACUUUCGUUUCCUCCUGAGAUUUUAUGCAUCCUCUCUUCAGAGUUGCUCUGGGAGCAGGAAAUACUAAAGCACUCAGAAAAUAAAAUUCGUUUUAAAGUACUGAAUCCAUCUUCCUCAGACCUUAGGAAAGAUUAUUGACUUUCAAGUGAACAUUUGAAUCUGUUUAUCUGAGCCUAAUAAACAUGCUGCACAGCAGUUCUGGUAUUUCUGGUAGACCUCCUCUUUCCAAGAAGGCAAAAUCAAAGGGGAGAAAUAAUAGUUCUUAUAGAUGUUAUGGAGGGUUUCCUUUACUUUUAUUAUUUUUAUCUAUCUAUCUAUCUAUCUAUCUAUCUAUCUAUCUAUUGACCUUUACAAUAUUUAACUGUAGAUUUUUGGGACCCUUACAAAGCAACUUAAAAACCCAUCAAGGCCACCAGGAUCCCUAGCCUUGGCCUGAGCUACAUAGUAGCUAUGUGUCAACCCAGUUCUAAUUCCUGCUGCUCCCAAACUGUUGCUGGGAUCCCCCAAACUGCUGUAGCACUGACUUGUUCCCUUGUUGCCUUUCCCUUGCCCUUGGCUUCUGGCUUCAGGUGGAACAGUCGGAGGAGUUUGUGGUCAUCCAUCAGCACGUUGAGCUCUGCUGUUAGCAUUGCUGCUGUAUAUUUUCUCAGUUCAGACGAGCUAACAAAUAUCAUUAGAGUCUUUCUGAGUAUGUCUCUUCAAGUCAAACAUCUUGCACUAUCUUACAGCAAAUUAGCGUCAGUGGAUUAUCUGAUUUUUUUACUGCAUCCCUCUCAUGUCAUGUCUCUUUCCUUCUGUUUUUAUUUAUUUUAUUUUAUUUCUUUGUGGGAACAAGUUAAGUAUUUGCACAAAGGCUAAGAUGGAAGAAAUAAAAUCCCCUUAAUUUUCUUGAAAAUGCAAAUCCUGCCGAGAGACUCAUCAGUUCAGCAUGAGGUAAUUUACUGAUGAGAGAAAAAAAACCUGGAUGUAGUGAUGAAGUGUAGCAUUAACAAUUUUAAAUAGUGAAAUUAUUACCUUUUUGGGAAUUAUCAGUCAGUGCAGUGUUAGAAAGGCAAUUUUUCAUGGUUAGUUCAUUGUCCACCUCAUGCCUUCAGCUUUUUGCACAGAUGUGUGAAACUAUUGUGUAAGAGGUCUUGAAGGUUAGAAAGGGAUUUAAUUCAUAAGCCUCAGCUCUUCUGUGAAUUCCAUUUCUCUGUACAUAUUUAUAUACAAUUCAAAUAUUCAUAAACUUUAUAAUUAUAUACAUAUAAUAUAUAUUUUAUUAUAUAAAAAUCAUAAUAACUUCCUCAUUACUCUCCAGUGACUUCAUCAGUACUAGAUGAUGAAAUCAAGCCAGAGGAAGACCCUCAUUUUGCAAAAUCUUUUUAUUCCAUAUCUUAAUGAUUCCAAGAACUUGAGAAAAUUCAAACAGAAGAAAUUCAUAUGGAGGAUGUUUGGCUAUCAGGCCUUAAGUCGCACAUGCAUCCUUUUACUGAGAUCAUAUGAGAAAAGCCAGUUUAGUUAGUUUUCUGUCAUCUUGCUAUGGCUUCUUUGUGGGUUGCAAAGCUCACUCCUGCUGAAGUACUCUAAUCAUUUUUACACAGUAGUUCAUAUUUCAUUGGAAAAUUAGGGUGGAAGGAGCCUGCAGUCCAGCUACUGCAUCCUCUAUCCCUCACAGAGAGAUGUCUUCCCAACUUGGUCUUAAAUAUCCUUCUUCUCUUCUAUGACAGAUCUUAAUCACUGCAGACCCUUUGCAUUGUAUCUGUGCUCAGGUGCCUGACACUCCUGCUACCUCAUUGGAAAAUCACAGAGCUUCACCUGUAGCCAUUCUUCUUCACCAGUAGGCGGGUUAGAGACAGGAACAGCAUCAAUUCCAUAGUAUUGGACAGGUACAGUGGUAAGCUUAAUGUGGAAAAGUCUCUGAAGCAUUGCAGAAAGAAUUAUUUCUAAAUUAAGAUACUUGGUGUUUUUUUUUGUUUGUUUGUUUGGUUUUUUCCCUAUCAAUGUAUCAACUGGUAUCUCUUUGGAAUACAAUAAAAUCAAAUGUUGCUUUUCUGGCAUAUUCAGCAAAAUUUUAUUAAUGCAGUUCUGAAUCUAAAGGCUUGAACAGAAAUCUGGAUGACUUUUUCCUCUGAUUUUGUUAUAAUCUAUUAUUUCUCCCCAUACUGCUUGUUCAUGGAUGUUUUGUUAGUGUUAUUUUAAAAGAGUCAACAUGAGUACUAGUGCUGAAACUACUCUUCCCUUUCAGCAUCUGUGUUAUCUAUCCACCUGUAAAGCAACUGUUCCAGUCAUGAGAGUUUUCCUACCAGCUUCCCAUGAUGUACAGUGUACCACAAACACUGUCACAGAGUUCAUUUCACUUCAGUGAAUGGGUAACUAAUUCUACAUCCAAUUGCACUGUCUGAACUCAGGGAAUUUUAAAGUAGAAGUAGAAGCUGAACUUUCAGAACUCAAAUACAAUUAAUUAUGAGACUGACCGCAUUACUAAAAUUGCAGAAACUUGUUUUUAUGCAGUUUCAGAUUGUGCAUAUGCAGAAAUGCUGCAGAUUACUCCAGGGUCAAAAAUAAAGUGUCUGUUUUAAUAGUAGAUGUGUAUGCAUAUAUUUUAGUCCAUUCUUUAGGAAAAUUGAUCUAUUGCCUCGUAGGUUCUUGUGUUGCUCUAUUACAGUCUUCUUCGCAUUGUGUAUUAAUAGUGAGGAUAUGUCUGACAGAUCUGUAGAGAUAGGAGAUCUGAGUAAUAGUAUGACAUUGUUUAAUCAUCAGCAUACAUAUAAUCCACUAUUCUUCACUCAGAGCUAUUCUUUAGUUAAACUGUGUCGUUUGUGAGAAUGCCUAUUGAUGAAAAUCUUACCAGACUAAAAAAAAAAGAAAAAGCAUGGCUGUGGUCUUAAAAUGCCAAACCAAAUAGAAGCAACUUGAAAUUUGAUGUUACUCAAGUUGAGCCUGCUUUGUAGAAUCACUGAACGCGACCGAAGGGUUUUAGAGCUUUCUAGCUGAUGAGGACCCUGAUAGAAAAUUCUGUAGCAGACAGUUGUAUGAACAUGUCCAUAUGUAGGACACUAGAGGUUUAAAUGAAAAAAUCUGAUGUAAAACAAGGACAUUCCUUAUGAUAACAAUAAUUUAUUAACGUAAAUUAUUUAUUAUCAAGACAGUGAUAUAAAUGUGAGAACAGUCAGUUGUGAUGUUCUGUAAGACAAACGAAAUGUCUACUUCUUCAGAAAGUACCUUUGCAUGCCGAUCUCAGAGAUAGAAACACACGGUCCACUGUGAGCAUCUCCAUUAUGUCUCACAAAUGCACAGUGUGUAUGUAACACAUUUAAUGAUUUUGUAAAAGAUGUCUGUGAAUGUGUUAUUUUGCUGCUGUCAUUGACUAGCCUUGAGCCUAUUGUGGUAAGCGUGUUAGCAGUAUAGUUGAAAAUGAGAAGGGGAACAUACGAGAAGAUCACUGGGUCCUUUUUCAGAGAGUGGUUAUUUUUCACCUCAAGGUGUAAAUAGUAAAUAAUCACAUAUUGUUAUAAUAAAUAUUAUUACAUUGUGAUAAUAAAUGA